AGGCUUUUUAUGGAUGCCAAAUGCGCCUAUAUUAGGGCUGUCGGCUUUGCCGACUAUGGCGAUAAACGCCUUGUGGAAUAAGCGUAGCGGACCCGGGGGCAGUACCCGGCGCCUCCACCAGAUUCCGGCCGGGCGCCCUGCGACAGGGCGACCGGCCUGCUUACGGGGGCGAAACAGGAUCGACGCGCGUGGUAAAGACAUGGUUUUCGCUCGGCAUGGUACCACCGUUACCGGGCCAUUUUGACAAGUGCCAACGAUAACGAGAUGGCGCUCGCUGCCUAAUAACAGGUAAGCGCGGCCCGGGGGGCGCCGGGCAACAGAAGCCCCCCAAU
rnacentral:tmRNA from 1 species